GUCUACAUAGCUCAUGCAGUCGACGGUAGCACAGAGAGCUUGCUCUCGCGUGACGAGUGGCGCUACUGUGGUGAGUAAUGUCUGGGAGACUGCCAGAUGGAGGGGGAUAACUNCUGGAAACGGUAGCUAAUACCGCAUAACGUCGCAAGACCAAAGAGGGGGACCUUCGUGCCUCUUGCCAUCAGAUGUGCCCAGAUGGCAUUAGCUAGUAGGUGGUGUAACGGCUCACCUAGGCGACGAUCCGAGCUGGUCUGAGAGGAUGACCAGCACACUGUACUGAGACACGAUCUAGACUCAUACGGAGGCAGCAGUGCGAUAUGCACAGUGGGUGCAGCUGAUGCAGCAUGCGCGUGUAUGAGACGCUGCGGUGUAGUACUUCAGCAGACAGAGUGAUGUGUAUGACACAGUAUGACUACUGCAGAGAGCACAGCUACUCGUGCUAGCGCGCGUAUACGUAGUGCAGCGUAUCGCAUACUAGCGUAAGCACGCAUGCGCUGUCAGUCGAUCUAUCUGACUAGCUGGACUGCAUCGAGCUGAUGCUGAGUCUGUAAGAGCUAGAUCAGCUAGCGUGAUGCUCAGAUCGAGAUUCGUGCUAUCGUCUGACAGACUGAGCUCAGUGGAUCGUUGUGUCACGAUCNAUACUAGAAUCAGCGACAUCGAUGAGUAGUCGUAGCUGCUCGGACUAUCGUAUCGAUCGUAGCGAUCGGCUAGCAGCUAUGAAGACUGGAACGCAAGCGGGAGCAGCGUAUCGAUGCACG
rnacentral:rRNA from 1 species